rnacentral:rRNA from 1 species
UGGGGGAUAUUGCACAAUGGGCGAAAGCCUGAUGCAGCGACGCCGCGUGGGGGAUGAAGGCUUUCGGGUUGUAAACCUCUUUCGCUAUCGAACAAGGCCCGCUUAGGGUGGGUUGAGGGUAGGUGGAGAAGAAGCGCCGGCUAACUACGUGCCAGCAGCCGCGGUAAUACGUAGGGCGCGAGCGUUGUCCGGAAUUAUUGGGCGUAAAGGGCUUGUAGGCGGCUUGUUGCGCCUGCUGUGAAAACGGGGGGCUUAACUUCGCGCGUGCAGUGGGUACUGGCAGACUUGAGUGUGGUAGGGGUGACUGGAAUUCCAGGUGUAGCGGUGGAAUGCGCAGAUAUCUGGAGGAACACCGAUGGCGAAGGCAGGUCACUGGGCCAUUACUGACGCUGAGGAGCGAAAGCAUGGGUAGCGAACAGG